UACGGAGGGUGCAAGCGUUAUCCGGAUUCACUGGGUUUAAAGGGUGUGUAGGCGGGUAUUUAAGUCAGUGGUGAAAUCUCCAGGCUCAACCUGGAAACUGCCAUUGAUACUAUUUACCUUGAAUUCUGUUGAGGUGGGCGGAAUACAUCAUGUAGCGGUGAAAUGCUUAGAUAUGAUGUAGAACACCAAUUGCGAAGGCAGCUCACUAAACAGACAUUGACGCUGAGGCACGAAAGCGUGGGGAGCAAACAGG
rnacentral:rRNA from 1 species